rnacentral:rRNA from 1 species
CACGUAGGGGACGAGCGUUGUCCGGAUUCAUUGGGCGUAAAGGGCGCGUAGGCGGCCAGCGCAAGUCAGUUGUGAAAUCUCCGGGCUUAACUCGGAACGGUCAACUGAUACUGCGCGGCUAGAGUGCGGAAGGGGCAACUGGAAUUCUCGGUGUAGCGGUGAAAUGCGUAGAUAUCGAGAGGAACACCGGCGGCGAAGGCGGGUUGCUGGGCCGACACUGACGCUGAUGCGCGAAAGCCAGGGGAGCGAACGGG